CAAAGAAAAAACUACCACUAUUGAGGUUGAGUUAGAGAACAACGAUGAGGGGGACGAGGAGGAGGAGAAAACAUAGCUAGAAAAGGAAGACUAGAACAACGAUCUUGAGUGAGGAUAUCUGCAACUUGACAAUAUGUUUCGUGCGUUCAUGGAGCACAUGGUUGGUAACUAUGUAGAACCCAAACCGACAUCCACAUAAGCUGUGAGGACGGCAGCAGUAAUCUUUGGGGUCGUAGCAGAUUGAUGAAUGGUGCAGAUAUAGCUUUCAAAGUUGCUCGUCGCUUGACUCCAGUUCCUAGCAUUACCUGAACCUUCCACGGUAUCAUGAAUCUAAGAAAGCCAGAUCAUGUUCCCUUGUUGGGGUUUGGUUCUGUUUGUCUAGCUAAAAUUUCCAUGGGAGAUCUAAGUAGAGAUUAAGUAAUCUUGAAUUUGUGAUAGUAAUAUGACUAGAGAUAAUAGCUAUACACUAUGUAAAGAAUUUGAAUUGAGUGAAUUGAGAUAAUGAUAUGCAAAAUCUAAAAGCAAAGUGCCUAACCAUGUCUUUUUUUUUUUGACAUUGCCUAACCAUGUCAUUUUUGCAAAACAUUUCUUUUGAAAUUCCAGACAUUUAUAUAUAACUAGAUUUGGACCCGCACGUACGUGUGGGAUUAAUUUCAAAAACUAAAUUUGCUAUCAUGUUUGCAAUAUAUUAUGUAUAUGUAGAGUUAUAUUUGUAAAAGACAUUUCUUAACAUUCAUAAUCCAAACUCGUACCAGUUCAGUAUUUGAUUUGUUUUCAAUUUAGUUUAAACAAAAGUAACGAUAAGAUUUGGUUUUGUUACCCGUAAAAACAAUUAUAUUAAAAAGUUAUAUAGUAAAAGAAAAGUGGUUGUCUAUUUUAGACAGGAUAAAAACAACUAAAAAAAAAAAAAUUCAAACCCGGAUGAUAAAAAUUCAAGCGGGUUAACACGUCUGCUAUUCAUACUCCGCAACCGAUUAAAAUAUGUUUAACUCACCAAUAUAUACAUUUCACAUUCUCCACAUUAGUAAAUGAUAUAUUUGCAUAUGUUAUGUUUGAAUUCAUGUAUUACGCUAAAUUUCCGACCCCACUUUUAUUAGGAAUACAUAUUAGGUAAUGAUUUUUUAUUUUCUGAAUUACCCGUACCUUACCAUAUAUGUUAUUUCAUAUAGUCCAUAUUAGUAAAUAGUAUGGUCGUAUAUGUCCUACUUGAGUACCCGUUAUCCAAAAUUCCUUUUACAAUAUAUUUGCGUCGCGUAUUUUACCAAUAACAGUUUAGAUAAUGGUUUUAAUUUUCUGAAUUACCUAUUUUCUUCCUAUACCCGUUAUUUCAUAUCCCAAUAUAUAAGAUAAACAUAUAUUGUUCGCUUCAAUGAUUAAAAAAUUAAUUUAGAUUUUAAUAAUAUAUAUUAAAUUAAGAUAUAGUUAUAUUCUUUUCUUUUUAAAAAAUUGCAGAUAACCCGUAAACCCGACGUUUGACCAGUAAAUUAUAUAAUCAGUAAAAGUAUGAAAUUAAAUUUCUUUAUCCAAAUUUAAAUUAUCAGUAAAAUUUCAAAUUAGAUUUAUUUAUCCAAAUUAAUAUUAGUUUUUUUUUUAAAUAUUCUUAAUGAUAAGUAAUUUUAACCAUGAAUAAUUGUUUUUUUGAUAAUUAUGUUAUUUAUAUUAGUAAUUUUUAGGAUUAUAAUAUUUUAUAUUAUAUAUAUAUAUAUAUACGAGAACUUUGGAUAUAUAUUGCUUUUUGUUUUUUUGGAAGCCUUUAAAUAAGCCACAAAACCGACGCGGAAAAAUAUAUAAUUAUCAGGAAUAGCUUUAAAAUUGAAAUUAUUGGUAUCCAAAUUAUAUAAUCUGUUUCGUUAUCCAAAGUUCUCGUUAUGUAUUUUAUUUGAAAUAGUUUGGAUACUGUUUUUAUUUUUAUUUUUUAAAAUGAACUUUUUCCAGCGCUCUUUAUGUAAUUUCAUGUCUUUGUAUUUAGAACAAAUAAGACUAUAUAUAUUUCAUCUAAUACAUUUUUAGAAAACUUUAUUCUACUUCAAAAACUUUUUGUAUUUCACAUAUAAAAAUUAUAAUAAUGUGAAUCUUCUUUCAAUAUAAAAUAAUUUAAAAUACAAUCAAUGAUUAAAAUAUGAAAUCUGAAAUAAGAUUGCUCUAUAAUUUAGAAUAAGAAUUAAAAGUGGUUGGAUUCAAUUUGAGAAGAUUGCUCCAUAAUUUAGAAUUUUACAUUAGUUAUUUUUGGAAUUUGAAAUAAGAUAAUAAGUAUGUAUUAAACUUAAAUAUUUUAUGAGCUAUAUUUCGUAAUAUUUAAUGGGGAUUUUCAUACAUAUAUUUUCGUAAUAAUAAAUAUUUUCUUAAUUUGAAGAUUUUUUUAGCUAAUUUUUAGGAUACUUGAUUUUAGGAUCACUGUUUUUUUUUAAAGGAAAUAUUAUGUUUCCUAAAAUUAUGGAUUUUUUUAAAUUACCUUAACUAUCCUUAUUCUUGUUUAUUGUUAUAACUAAAUGCAUAUGCUCUACACCUUUUAAUGGUAUACUAUAUGGUUAUUUUAUUCAAAAUGUUUCCCUUUUAAUAGUAUAGAUAAAUAUCUUUUUAUUUUAAACGUUUCAAAAAUUAAAAUAUUAUAAAUAUAUUAGUUUAAAUUAGGUAAAAUAUAUUAGGAAAAUCGAAAAUAUGUUUACAAAUACACUAUUUCGAAUUUAAUAUGCCACAUUUUAUGGUAACAAAUUUAUUAUGAUUUCCAAAAAUAUUAGUCAGUUAUUAGUUUUGAUUUUUUAUUUAUUUUAAAACAUAUUUUUUCUUUUCAAAAUCUGUCAUUAAUUCUGUUUGGUUAUAGGUUUACGAUUACAUUUUAAAUAAUUUUUUGUAUUUAAUUUGUUUGGAUACACCUAUAAAAAAUGCUCCUCUUUUAAUAGUAUAGACUAAUGAUGGACCCGCACGUACGUGCGGGGUUAUUUUUGUAAAAUUACGAUUUUUUAUGUAGAUGCGAUUUUGGUAAAAAUUUGUUAUAUGAAUUUAUUUGACAAACUAUACAUAGGCAUACAAUUGUAAAAUAUAGAUGUUGUAUUACUUAAUAUAGUUUUAAAAUAAUUUACAUGAAAAUGUUAAGUGAUAUUACAUAUUUACUUUUGUAUGAAAAUAUAUGCUUACAUUCCGUUCGGAUCUCUUUCCAUCUUGUUCCCAUCUUGUAUAAUAUUUUUACUCUUGUUGCAUUAGAUUAAUUUCUACAAAUUGAUCUGCAGAAAGUGAUCACACAAUCAUGUAUCAAUUUAAUUAAAAAUAAAAUAAUGUGUUUAAUGCAAUAAAAUAAUUCAAUUUUUAUUAUUUUGGCUAGAUAUGAUAUCUAUUUAUAAUACGGUUGAAAAAUAUAUUUCAUUUUAUACAAUUACAAUUUAGAUUAGUGACAUAUAUAUUAAAAAUAAUGAAAUCAGCCCAUUUUGUUGAAUAAAUUAUUUUAAGACUUUUUAUUAUUUUGAAUAUAAUUAAAUCAGUUCUACCUAUAUAUGUGGGAUAAUGUUUUUAGAUAUUUAUUGUAUAUCAUUUAUAGUUUAGAUUCAUACCAGUUUGACAUUUACAGUAAAACCUCUAUAAAUUAAUAAUGUUGGGAUUAUGAAAAUUUAUUAAUUUAUAGAGGUUUUAAUUUAUCGAUAAAUUAAUUUAUAGAGAGAUUUUUUCUAAUUUGGUUUCAGUUAGAUAGUUAAGGAUUUUGUUCUAAGACAUAACAAUUAUUUAAAUUUGAUAUAUCCACUUAGUAUUUAGUUUUAAUGUUAAUAUAUAUUUUAUAUGUUUUUAUAAUCUCAAAAUGCAGUUUAAGAUUUGAUAAAAUAAUUAGUUAAGAGUUGACUGUAGAAUUCAUAUGGGAUGUAGAUUCAUUUUGUUAAAUUGUGUGAAAUUAAUAAGAAAAAGAAGUCUGAAAUAAUUAUUAACUAAUUUAUUGAUCCAAAAAAAAAUCACUAACUAAUUGAAUUAUUUAUAAAUUUCGUAAAUAUUUUUUAUUUUAUAAUUAAUUUAUAUAUAUUUUAGGGAAUAUUCCAUUAGUUUGUUAUGAGAAUUAACUUUAAUAAUGAUAUAUAUGUAAAAUAUUGUCAGCUUUUUUAAUUUAGUAGUUAAUGAGGUACCAAAAUCUAUGAAAUCUUGAAUUUCUAAAGAUCAAACUAUUACGAUUUAAUUAAACUUUUUUUUUUUUGGAUAGUUUAAAGAUUUGAAUUCAAUAUUUUUCUAAUUGUCGAUUGGUUAUAACAAGUGCUAGUUAUUAGGCUGAUUGAAUUAAUCCUGUUUUUCUGAAUAAUUUUUUUAAAAAUUGAUUAUGAUUUUUUUUAAAGGAAAACGGAAAUAUCUCAUAUGUAAUCAUUAUAUUUUAAAAUCCUUUUAUUUUUUGUGCUAUAUUUGCGAGAUUUAUUUUUUAAUAUGAAGAUUUUAUGUGAUAUAUAAUGUUUCGCAUGAUUUUAGCAAACAAAUUUUUAAUUAUUGAUUUAAUUAAGAUUUAUUUUUAAACACUUAAUUUCAUUAAUUAAGAUUUUUUAUUCAAAUAUUUUUAACUAUUUGUUUAAGAUUAUAUUUUUAAAAAUUUGAUGAUAUAAUUCAUUAUGUUUUAUAUUUCUACACAUUUUAUGAUAUGUAUUCUAUAAUCAAACAUAUUUUUCAUCUUUAUUUCUCAUAAAUAUAAAUUAUUGUUUUCAAAAACUAUUCAAAAAUAUAUAACUAAUAUUAAAUCUGUUUACAUAUGUUUAAUUUCGAAUUUAAUUGUCCAUUUUUUAUGGUAACAAAAUUAAAAUUAUUUCCAUAAAUAUAGAUACUUUUUGUUUCUUAGGUUUUUAUUUAUUUAAUUAUAUUUUUUUUGCUGUCUUUUAGUGUGUUUGGCUAUAGGUUGAGAUUGUAUAUUUUGUAAUAUUCUUUUUUCAAGUUUGUUUGGCUACAAAGACUAAUAAUGCUCCCCAAUUAAUAGUAUAGAUUAACUAAUUGAAUUAAUGAUACAUUUUGUAGAUAUCUUUUGUGCUAUAAUUGCUAAAUUGUUUUUGAAUAUGAAUAUUUUUUAUGUAAAAAUAAGAAAUUUAUGUGAUCUAAAAUGUUUAUUCGCAUGAUUUUAGCAAACAAAUAUUUAAUUAUUGAUUUGUUUAAUUUUUAUUUAUAUUUAUAAAUUAUAUAUUUUUUAAAAAUUUGAUGAUAUGAUCAAUUAUGUAUAUAUACUAUGUAGAAUUUGAUUAGUUGAUUAUUUCAUAUGCUAACAUAUUUUUUUAUCCUUUUAUUAAUCUAAAAAAAUGUUAUCUUUGUUUUUUAGAUAUAUGAUGAUUUUGUUUUAUUAGAUUUCAUUCUAUAUCUAUACUAUUAAUUUCGAAAAAAUAUUAAAAUAUUAAAUUAAUAUUAAAUAUGUUUAUGUAUAUUCAAAAUAGACAUGUUUACAUAUAUUUAAUUUUGAAAUUAAUUGUCCACUUUUUAUCGUAAAAGAUUAUUAUGAUUUCCAUAAAUAUAGAUUGUUUUUGUUUUUUUGUUUUUUUUUUUGUUGUCAAUAGUUCUGUUUGGCAACUGGAAUAUAUUUCAUGAAAUUUUUUUUUCAAUUAGGGGCGUUUGGCUUCAAAUUGUCCUUCCCAAUUAAUAGUAUAGAUAGAUAAAUAUCAUUUUAUUUAAAACGUUUCAAAAAAUAAAAUAUUAUAAAUAUAUUAGUUUAAAUUAGGUAAAAUAUAUUAGAAAAAUCUAAAAUAUGUUUACAAAUACACUAUUUCGAAUUUAAUAUGCCACAUUUUAUGGUUACAAAUUUAUUAUGAUUUCCAAAAAUAUUAGUCAGUUAUUAGUUUUAAUUUUUUUAUUUAUUUUAAAACAUAUUUUUCCAUUCAAAAUCUGUCAUUAACUAUGUUUGGUUAUAGGUUUAUGAUUACAUUUUAAAUCAUUUUUUAUAUUUAAUUUUUUGGAUACACCUAUAAAAAAUGCUCCCCUUUUAAUAGUAUAGAUGAAAUUUUUUUAGUUAAAAUAUAUUUUAUAAAAAACCUUAAAACUUAUUAACUAAGCGUGUUAAAUUUACAAUCCGUGAAAACAUGUUGAACUUUUACACCAAACUAACGGACCACAAAGGGACUGGAUGCUAGGUCCGGUUUGUUUUCAACGCAUUAUAAUUUAACACUUAGUUAACAAGUAAUAAAGAAAACAUUUUGGUCAAAUUAAAAAUUAAAAGUAUUUACUUGAAAAUUAUUUGGUAAAAACCUUGAUAUUAGUUUUAAAUCAUAAAAAUCAGAAAUGAAGAAACUGAAGAUUUUUUUUUUAUAUAUAAUUUUUAAAGCAAAAUCAUUACUCUUAAUUAAAAAAAAAAAGUAUGAAUGUGUAUAGUAUAUAUACCUGCAAGGGCGGUGAUGUCUUUGAC
rnacentral:lncRNA from 1 species